UUUAAGCAUAUCAAUAAGCGGAGGAAAAGAAACCAACAGGGAUUGCCCCAGUAACGGCGAGUGAAGCGGCAACAGCUCAAAUUUGAAAUCUGGCCCCUAGGGUCCGAGUUGUAAUUUGUAGAGGAUGCUUUUGGUGAGGUGCCGCCCGAGUUCCCUGGAACGGGACGCCGCAGAGGGUGAGAGCCCCGUCUGGCUGGCCACCGAGCCUCUGUAAAGCUCCUUCGACGAGUCGAGUAGUUUGGGAAUGCUGCUCAAAAUGGGAGGUAUAUGUCUUCUAAAGCUAAAUAUUGGCCAGAGACCGAUAGCGCACAAGUAGAGUGAUCGAAAGAUGAAAAGCACCUUGAAAAGAGGGUUAAACAGUACGUGAAAUUGUUGAAAGGGAAGCGCUUGUGACCAGACUUGGGCGCGGCGGAUCAUCCGGGGUUCUCCCCGGUGCACUUCGCCGUGUUCAGGCCAGCAUCAGUUCGGCGCGGGGGAAAAAGGCUUCGGGAACGUGGCUCCUCCGGGAGUGUUAUAGCCCGUUGCAUAAUACCCUGCGCUGGACUGAGGACCGCGCAUCUGCAAGGAUGCUGGCGUAAUGGUCACCAGCGACCCGUCUUGAAACAC
rnacentral:rRNA from 1 species